rnacentral:rRNA from 1 species
GCGUGGCGCUAUCGUAUACAUGCAAGUCGAGCGAACAGAUAAGGAGCUUGCUCCUUUGACGUUAGCGGCGGACGGGUGAGUAACACGUGGAUAACCUACCUAUAAGACUGGGAUAACUUCGGGAAACCGGAGCUAAUACCGGAUAACAUAUUGAACCGCAUGGUUCAAUAGUGAAAGGCGGCUUUGCUGUCACUUAUAGAUGGAUCCGCGCCGUAUUAGCUAGUUGGUAAGGUAACGGCUUACCAAGGCAACGAUACGUAGCCGACCUGAGAGGGUGAUCGGCCACACUGGAACUGAGACACGGUCCAGACUCCUACGGGAGGCAGCAGUAGGGAAUCUUCCGCAAUGGGCGAAAGCCUGACGGAGCAACGCCGCGUGAGUGAUGAAGGUCUUCGGAUCGUAAAACUCUGUUAUCAGGGAAGAACAAAUGUGUAAGUAACUGUGCACAUCUUGACGGUACCUGAUCAGAAAGCCACGGCUAACUACGUGCCAGCAGCCGCGGUAAUACGUAGGUGGCAAGCGUUAUCCGGAAUUAUUGGGCGUAAAGCGCGCGUAGGCGGUUUUUUAAGUCUGAUGUGAAAGCCCACGGCUCAACCGUGGAGGGUCAUUGG